AUUGAACGCUGGCGGCAGGCCUAACAUAUGCAAGUCGGACGAAUGGCAGACCAGUGAGUAAUGUCUGGGACACUGCCAGAUGGAGGGGGAUCACUACUUGACACAGUAGCUAAUACCGCGUACCAUCGGAUAUGCCCAUAUGGGAUUAGCGAGUAGGUGGGGUAACGGCUCACCUCGGCGACGAUCCCUAGCUGGUCUGAGAGGAUGAACAGCCACACGGGAACGGAGACACGGUCCAGACUCCUACGGGAGGCAGCAUUGGGGAAUAUUGCACAAUGGGCGCAAGCCUGAUGCAGCCAUGCCGCGUGUAUGAAGAAGGCCUUCGGGUUGUAAAGUACUUUAAGCGAGGAGGCGUUACUCGCAGAAGAAGCACCGGCUAACUCCGUGCCAGCAGCCGCGGUAAUUC
rnacentral:rRNA from 1 species